rnacentral:rRNA from 1 species
CCUACGGGACGCAGCAGUGGGGAAUAUUGCACAAUGGGGGAAACCCUGAUGCAGCGACGCCGCGUGAGUGAGGAAGUAUUUCGGUAUGUAAAGCUCUAUCAGCAGGGAAGAAAAUGACGGUACCUGACUAAGAAGCCCCGGCUAACUACGUGCCAGCAGCCGCGGUAAUACGUAGGGGGCAAGCGUUAUCCGGAUUUACUGGGUGUAAAGGGAGCGUAGACGGAAUAGCAAGUCUGAUGUGAAAACCCGGGGCUCAACUCCGGGAGUGCAUUGGAAACUGUUGAUCUAGAGUGUCGGAGAGGCAA